AGGUGCCUGAGUGGUCAGCCUGUUUCCUGGGGCUUCCCUGUUGCUGCUUCCAGUUUGGGUCACCAUGGGAGUUCCAGGGAUCGUGCUGCCCCCCUGGGUCCU